UUCGUCAGCAGUCCCUGUGCCAGUCCUACAUGUGAUGCAGCACAUGAACAUGGUGCAUGCAAUGAGUACUGAAACCACAUUUACAAUCUGCAUGUAGUCCAAGAGCUGUAAACUAUUCAUCCUUGCUGUAGAGGUCUCUUGUUUGCUGGCUGAUCUUGAAGUGGCCUUGCUAAAAGUACUCCCUGCCAUUUCUAAAGGAAAUAAAUCUACCUAAAACAUUUUGAAGCAGACAUGCUCCUCUGCUUGAAGGAUUAUUUUUUUUCAGAAAAGAGAAAGUGGUUUUCCCUGAACCUCUCAUCAUAAAGCAUGUGUUCCUGUUAGUUACAAUUUCCAAGACAGUGAAAGACCAGCAACAAGCUUCCAAUUUACCAGGUUAGAGCCUCACUCCGUUCCAGCCCUCCAGCUUUUCAACUCACUGUAACCUACAGGUGAUGCUCUGUGGAGAAGGAUGGCACAGAUGAGACGAUACAGCUUUUACAUGUCACAGUAUGAAGAAUAUAAGUAUUUCUUGAGCUACUUAUUGGUGCAAAUGGAAAUGUGAAAAUAUUUAUUGCUAAAGUAAAAGUACAAUCUGUAUUGCUUAAUUAUGAUAAUCUAG